ensembl:lncRNA
CACUGUUCGCACACUUCUGUUAGUACAGAAUUUCCUGUCUGUUCUCUUAGAGAAGUUCCUCUUAUCCUCAGAUCUUCACCUAAGUAUCAGGGAGAGACAAAUCUGUAGCCUCGAGUUUUCUUGUGAAGAUGGUUGUCACAGUAUGGAUGCAGGAAAUGGGGGAACAAAAUUAGGGGGUGGGAAUCCUGAGAUAAAAGAAUCAUGAACGGUGCUGCAAGGCACUCCCAGCCAUACUACACUUUUUGUGCCAUUGCCCUGUUUACAGUGGAUUAGAUGAGGAAUAGUUCCAUACUUGGAGAGAUAUUCAAGGAAGAAGCUGAUCUGCAGUGAAUGCCAGCUGGAAAUCAGAAGAUAAAAGAAGAGCAAAUGCACUCUGGGAACUCCAGUAUUCCACAGACACUUCAAGAACAUCUCACAGGAGCUGAAGGCCACCAUUAAUAGGCUCUGAUCAUUAAUCCCAGUCAAGCAAGAAGUCAUCAUGCUUCAUAGGAUCAAAGCUGAACUCGGAUCCAGGAAAGAUGUGCCCUCCUCCAGCUUCUGUUGCCCUGAACAGGAGUCAUAGGUACUACUGCUGAGCUGGGGAACACAGGUCCACAGAGCAAGAUCAGGAUAUUACUCUGUUAGGAAGACCUGGAUGGCCCCUCACUACAAGAAGACACUGAGGCCCUGGAGCGUGUCCAGAGAAGGGCAAUGAAGCUGGUGAGGUGUCUGGAGCACA